UAUAACCGGCGAUUUCCGAAUGGGGAAACCCAGUGUGAUUCGUCACACUAUCAUUAACUGAAUCCAUAGGUUAAUGAGGCGAACCGGGGGAACUGAAACAUCUAAGUACCCCGAGGAAAAGAAAUCAACCGAGAUUCCCCCAGUAGCGGCGAGCGAACGGGGAGCAGCCCAGAGCCUGAAUCAGUGUGUGUGUUAGUGGAAGCGUCUGGAAAGGCGCGCGAUACAGGGUGACAGCCCCGUACACAAAAAUGCACAUACUGUGAGCUCGAUGAGUAGGGCGGGACACGUGGUAUCCUGUCUGAAUAUGGGGGGACCAUCCUCCAAGGCUAAAUACUCCUGACUGACCGAUAGUGAACCAGUACCGUGAGGGAAAGGCGAAAAGAACCCCGGCGAGGGGAGUGAAAAAGAACCUGAAACCGUGUACGUACAAGCAGUGGGAGCCUCUUUAUGGGGUGACUGCGUACCUUUUGUAUAAUGGGUCAGCGACUUAUAUUCUGUAGCAAGGUUAACCGAAUAGGGGAGCCGAAGGGAAACCGAGUCUUAACUGGGCGUUAAGUUGCAGGGUAUAGACCCGAAACCCGGUGAUCUAGCCAUGGGCAGGUUGAAGGUUGGGUAACACUAACUGGAGGACCGAACCGACUAAUGUUGAAAAAUUAGCGGAUGACUUGUGGCUGGGGGUGAAAGGCCAAUCAAACCGGGAGAUAGCUGGUUCUCCCCGAAAGCUAUUUAGGUAGCGCCUCGUGAAUUCAUCUCCGGGGGUAGAGCACUGUUUCGGCAAGGGGGUCAUCCCGACUUACCAACCCGAUGCAAACUGCGAAUACCGGAGAAUGUUAUCACGGGAGACACACGGCGGGUGCUAACGUCCGUCGUGAAGAGGGAAACAACCCAGACCGCCAGCUAAGGUCCCAAAGUCAUGGUUAAGUGGGAAACGAUGUGGGAAGGCCCAGACAGCCAGGAUGUUGGCUUAGAAGCAGCCAUCAUUUAAAGAAAGCGUAAUAGCUCACUGGUCGAGUCGGCCUGCGCGGAAGAUGUAACGGGGCUAAACCAUGCACCGAAGCUGCGGCAGCGACACUAUGUGUUGUUGGGUAGGGGAGCGUUCUGUAA
rnacentral:rRNA from 1 species